CAUGUAGGCGGUCUGCUAAGUUCGGAGUGACAGUCACCAGCUUAACUGGUGAAGGACUUUGAAAACUGGCGGACUUGAGAGCGAAAGAGGGACAUGGAAUUCCGGGUGGAGCAGUGAAAUGCGUAGAGAUCCGGAGGAACACCAAAGGCGAAGGCAGUGUCCUGGCUCGUUUCUGACGCUGAGGUGCGAAAGCCAGGGGAGCGAACGGGAUUAGAUACCCCGGUAGUCCUGGCCGUAAACGAUGACCACCAGGUGUGGGAGGGAUCGACCCCUUCCGUGCCGUAGUCAACACAUUAAGUGCCCCGCCUGGGGAGUACGGCCGCAAGGUUAAA
rnacentral:rRNA from 1 species